UUCUCUAACGUUCUUAUGACCCCAAAGGAAGAAUUCCCUUUAAACCACCGCUUAUUUCUGUAUUUUCCCAAAAAAUCAGGAGGAACUCUUUGUAGCUGACAAGAAAUGCAGUACAGAAAAUGAGACCCUUUUUCAUGUCUAUGAUUAUGUGCAUUAUAUUCAAUCU